GACGAACGCUGGCGGCGUGCUUAACACAUGCAAGUCGAACGGAAAGGCCCUGCUUUUGUGGGGUGCUCGAGUGGCGAACGGGUGAGUAACACGUGAGUAACCUGCCCUUGACUUUGGGAUAACUUCAGGAAACUGGGGCUAAUACCGGAUAGGAGCUCCUGCUGCAUGGUGGGGGUUGGAAAGUUUCGGCGGUUGGGGAUGGACUCGCGGCUUAUCAGCCUGUUGGUGGGGUAGUGGCUUACCAAGGCUUUGACGGGUAGCCGGCCUGAGAGGGUGACCGGCCACAUUGGGACUGAGAUACGGCGCAGACUCCAACGGGAGGCAGAAGUGGGGAAUAUUGCACAAUGGGCGGAAGCCUGAUGCAGCAACGCCGCGUGCGGGAUGACGGCCUUCGGGUUGUAAACCGCUUUCGCCUGUGACGAAGCGUGAGUGACGGUAAUGGGUAAAGAAGCACCGGCUAACUACGUG
rnacentral:rRNA from 1 species